CGAGCCGGCCGGGCGGCCGCGUCAGGGCUUCACGGCCCUGCCGAGGAAGGUCCGGGCUCCACAGGGCAGGGUGGUCGGUAACGCCGACCCGGGGUGACCCGCGGGACAGUGCCACAGAAAACAGACCGCCCCCUUCGCGGGGGUAAGGGUGAAACGGUGGUGUAAGAGACCACCAGCGCCCACGGUGACGUGGGCGGCUCGGUAAACCCCACCCGGAGCAAGGUCAAGAAGGGACGUUCUCCGGAACGUCCCGCGCGCGACGUUCGAGGGCUGCCCGCCCGAGCCGCGCGGGUAGACCGCUUGAGGCCGCCGGCAACGGCGGUCCUAGAUGGAUGGCCGCCGGUCAGCCCUCACGGCUGAUCACAGAACCCGGCCUACAGGCCGGCUCGUCCA
rnacentral:RNase_P_RNA from 1 species